CACACACAUACUCCUCACCACUCCUGCAGCACAACACGUCGAUAAAAGCUAGAGAAUCUGAGUUUCUUUUUUUUUGUCAAUAUAAGAACCUUGACAGAGUUGAAGAAAUAUAAAAAGAAGACACGUUCAUCACGAGCGACGUGACUCAUCAUCAAACGGCGGUAUUAAAUGAAUAUCAUAAACAGAGCCCUCCCUCCCUCCCUCCCUCGCUCGCAUCUCAUUAAGCGAGUCCCGCUGUAGCUAUAGGUGAAGCCGCCUCUCUCUGCCAUACUGAAGCAGGUGUCCAACAUGGCGAACACUGGCAGCGGCUCUCUCGCGACUAUUCUCUUUUUAUUCAUGUUUCAAGCGGCUCUUCACAAAGGUAAGUUCCUCUUCGUCCAUCCUGAAACAAGCACCUCUCACCUCACUGGCCGUCACUGAAUGCCCCCAGGAGAUAGCGGGUACUGUGGUGAUUCAUUGGUAGUGUUUCUGGUUAAAAAUAUUCCUCCUCCUCCUUCUUCCUCUGCCCCACUUCCCUCUGACUGUCAGAGGAAAUGAAGCCGGCUCCUGUUCAACACUAAACCAGACCAGAAAUGGGGCUCUGUAAGCUUGUAUCAUUUUAAUGUCCCCUAACUCCUCCUAGGCAUGGAAUAUGUGUUCGGGUUGGCUUGAAAUGUGACGGAGUGGCCUCAAUGAUGUCAUGGCUACAGGGAAAAGCUGGUGUGUGCCGCGGUGGACAGCCACGAAAGGACAACAGUGGUCUUUAGAGGGUUGCAGUG
rnacentral:lncRNA from 1 species